CACAUACUGGGUUGGGUCGUGCAUCGGCUCCCGGGACAAAGCCCGCAGCCGCGCUGCUGUGAAAGUAACCGCAGGCGGGGCACAUCUCGGAUGCUCACAGACCGUUUGAGCAGGGAUAAGACCACGCGGAGGUUCAUUGCUGCUAAGAAGGGGAUUUUGGUUGUUGGGGGGCUGGUGGAACAUUGCUCUACAGGCUGCAAAAUCUCCUGAGCGACGGGUCAAGUCAAAGUCACUUGUGAGGCGGAAAGAGCGCAAGGACUCCUGGGAGAUACCCGUUUUUCUUUGGAGCGCCACCAGGAGGUUGUCAUUCCAUCAGAGGUGUUUGGGAAGAGCUGCGGAAAUGAUGGCUGAACUCCGCUGUUGGGACAGCCACGCACUUGCGUCUGGGAGCGACGAGCAUCAUCAUCAGCAACACUCAGGGGACAAACAAACACGCGGCUGUCUUUAGGAAGGAAUUCUCCGCUCCAGGCUUUGCCGUUGUCAAUGCUUUGUCAUCGGCGGUUGGAUAUUGGCCUUUAACGGGCGAGCGCAAGAAGGGGGCGCGGGGUGUGGGUGGCUUGGGGGGUGUGGGGGGUCUCAUGUGGAGAGCAAAUGUUCGCGUAACGCGGCAGUGCGCCGGUUUAGCGGCGUUUUCUCCGCUCGUAAGCCCCGUCGCAGUGGAUCUCGAGCGGACGCUGGGCACCUGGUUGAUUUCAACUCGACUGAUCCUCACUCACGUGGCCCGACAGACCCCAAAAGUGAGCGUCGCACAGUGAACGGCGAGACAACGCAAAUAGAAAAGUGGACUAUUUUUGUCUCUAAAAAAAAAAAAAAAAAAAAAGUUGCUGAUCCGGAGUGGGAUUAUUUCACGCAUUCUUGGCUGAGAGGAAUUGUGCGAUUGGUUUGACAAGAGUGGAGAUAACUGGAGAAAUAACCUCUACCACCAGCGAGGAGGCGAGGGAGACGCACAGGUUGGGCUCCCUCCCUCCAGGCUGCCCAUCCUAAUCUAUUCAUCUGUAAAUCACUGCAGAUGUUCUUCAUGUUGACCCUAAUUAAAUCAAGGCACACUUGAUACAGUCGCCUUGUUCCCCGUGGUCGAUCAUGGAACGGCUGUGGUUGUCUUUGCUGUUGCUGGUGGCAGCAGGAUGCAAGGGGCAGCAGUGUCCAAAACGUUGUAUGUGCCAGAGCCUGUCACCAUCGCUCGCUAUCCUCUGCUCCAAGACAGGCUUGCUAUUUGUUCCUGUUGCUAUAGACCGACGCACCGUGGAGCUUCGGCUUCAAGAGAACUUCAUCACAGCUGUCCGUAGGAAGGACUUUGCCAACAUGACCAGCCUGUUGCAUCUGACUCUGUCUAGAAACACCAUCAGUCAGCUCCUUCCUUCAGCUUUUAGUGACCUGCGGCGACUUAGAGCACUGCAUUUAGACUCAAAUAGAUUAACUGUUAUUAAGGAUGAUCAUUUCAAAGGCCUGACUAACCUUCGCCAUCUAAUUCUGGCCAAUAACCAGCUUCACUCCAUAUCUCCCCAUGCUUUUGAUGACUUCCUGUCCACACUAGAGGAUUUGGACCUCAGCUACAAUAAUCUCGCAGAAGUUCCUUGGGACACAGUUGGACGCCUAACAAAUGUCAAUACCUUAAAUAUGGAUCAUAACCUCAUUGAAAAUGUUCCCCAAGGAGUUUUCACCAACCUACACAAGCUUGCCAGGCUGGACAUGACAUCCAACAAACUGAAAAAAAUUCCUCCUGACCCUCUGUUCCUGAGAAUCCCGGUUUAUGCAAAAUCCAAAGGCAGUCCCCUGUCAUCCUUGGUUUUGAGUUUUGGUGGUAACCCUCUCCAUUGCAAUUGUGAACUUCUGUGGUUGAGAAGACUGACCCGAGAGGAUGACUUGGAGACGUGUGCUUCACCCCAAGACCUUAGUGCCAAAUACUUCUGGACAAUACCUGAAGAGGAAUUUAUCUGUGAUCCGCCAGUGUUAACCCGCAAGUCACCUCAAACAGUGACAAUGGAGGGCCACCCUGCCAGUCUCAAAUGUAAAGCAAAUGGCGAUCCAGAACCAGAAGUCCACUGGAUCAGUCCUGCAGGGCGACUAAUUUCUAAUGGGACAAGAACACUGGUUUUCCCAAAUGGAAGCUUGGAGAUCAAUGUCACCUCUCUAAAGGAUGCAGGGAACUUUACCUGCAUUGCCUCAAAUGCGGCAGGUGAAUCCACAGGAAGAGUGGAACUGGUUGUUACACCAAUGCCCCAUCUGGCAAACAGCACAAGCCGUAGCAGAGACCCGUCAGAGGCCAGAGAACCUGCUCCUUCUGACAUCCUAACCUCUUCGAAAGUCUUGAUGCCUAACAAUGAGACGAAAGCAGGAGAUCGCAGGGUUUCCUUGGUGGAGCUGACAGGAAACUCUGCCCUCAUUAGAUGGAGCAGUCAGACACCUAUGUCAGGAGUCAGGAUGUUCCAGGUCCAAUACAACAGUUCAGGGGAUGACACACUGGUGUACAGGAUGAUUCCCUCCAGCACCAAUGACUUCCUGGUUCGUGACCUCGCUGCUGGGAGAAGCUACGACCUGUGCGUCCUUGCCGUGUUCGACGAUGUCGUCACCUCACUGACUGCAACACGUCCUCUGGGUUGCUUGUCAUUCACGACAGACACAGAAUUCAGCCAGUGUCAGGCAUUACACAGUGACUUCUUGGGAGGGACUAUGAUCAUCAUCAUCGGCGGAUUUAUAGUGGCUUCUGUUCUGGUUUUUAUUAUUAUCCUGAUGAUAAGAUACAAGGUUUAUAGCCACCAAGGAACAGCCCAUGGAAAAGCUGCCAUUUCUACAACUGUGCCAAGACAGCAGAGCAAUGGGCAAGGGGGUCAGGCCCAAGUCCUGCCGCGCUCUGCUUCAGAAAUGACUGACAGUCAGGACGAGGCAGCAGAGGGCCCAUCUGGGGCCGUGUCACCUUGCGACACCCUGAGAGACACUGUUGCAUUGGUUGUGGAGGAGGCGAGUGGGCGCAACAUCAUGAUACGGACUGAUUCUACGGCCAAUGAGGAGUUGCUCUCACCCAGUAAGGCCCGCUUCAGCUCCAGGGUGGCCAUUGAGAUGAAAAACAGACCGCCAUCUGUCGCCAAAGAGCCCACCUCCCCCAAGGAACUGGCAGAACCCUGAAGUUUUUGUUCCGUGUGGUUGAACUGAAAAGAAGACAUUACCACCAUGGGGAACAAGACAAAAUUAAGAAGAAGAAACCACCCCUGUCUGUUUAUCUUGCUUUCUGUACCCAUUGCUGUGUUGCCAUCUGGUUUACCUUUUUCUAAUUAUCCCGGUUCUCAUUUCUGGAUUGGAUUACCAUCUCAGUGCUUGCCAAUGGUGACUGACCAGUUCCUGAAAGAUCCACCUGUUAGUUUGAUCAUCAUGAUCACCACUAAUGGAAUAAAUUUUACAAUCAUGAACGCCGCAAUCUCCUUAUUUAAGAAAAAAAUACAAGACACAGUCAAAGUUGAUGCUGUGGACUGCAGUGAAUAGUUUAAAAAAAAAAACAGAAAAGCAUACAAAUAUGUCGUGACAUAAAAUGCAUAUCCUGUAAAGGAUAUCCUCUCCAAUUGGACAAGUACUGAGUUUAUGACGAAAGUAGACUGGCUGCAUUUAGAAUUUCCUUCGACUUGGAUCUACAAAUGCUGACCCCUGGUGUUCUGGAUGUAAAAACUGCUCAUACAUUAAUAGCCCAGAUUGCAGCUAACAUUAGGAGAAUUGACAGAUGCAAAGUCAACAUGUAUUCCUUCUAUAUAAUCACGUGGUGAAAUGCAACUUUGUAAAAGGAAGAUGAGCCGCUGUGAAAUGGAUUUUAACUUUGACACAACCCUUACAUACAGAGGUUCAUUCUGGACAAUUCAUAACUGAAGCGUAGUGAUUUGACUCUCAGAGAAAGAUGAGCCUUGCCUGGGUUCUGGAUGUGAAUUCCAAAUGUUCUGUCACUAGUCUUGUACAGACUAAGCUGGACUAGACCAAGCGGACCAUCUUUUGUACCAGUCUAAAAAUUUCCACUGGAUUGGACCGCCAAGGACCUCAAACACUCCCUUGCAACUUUCUGGGUCCCCUUUAAACCAGGCCCAGAUCUGUCAUAUCUGAAGAAAAAAAGCACAGUUCUCCUUGACAACAAAAAAGAGAUGAAAACCGCAGUGCAUCAGUGUCAGUCAUCUAUCAUCAUUCUUUUUAACCUUUAGCCUCACUGUCAUUCAGUGUUGUUGAAUAUUUUCAUGUGCAGAACAAAUAUGGUAUGCGAGUAUAUUGACGGCAAAUUGUUUACAGCAUUGUUUGCGGUAGGUCUCGGCUCCAUUUACAUCACAAUCGCAUCGUUAUUGUCAUCAUGGAUUGGAGUGUGUGCCCAGCAUGAAUUACCUAACAUCUCAUCAUAAGUUUCAUUUGAUUCCUUUGGAGAGUUUUCCAUUUGUGUAUCUUGGAACAGGCCGCAUGAUCCACCUGAUUAUCACUUUAAUCUUCCUCACGCUUUGGCCCAUGCAGGUGGAAUUCAGGAUGAAUAAGUACUGUUUCUGAUAUGUACCACCCAUGUCUGUCUCCAUUGAAAUUAUGGUCAUUAGGGUUAUGAUCCCCAUCAUUUCAGAUUAUUUUGGAAGAAUACCUGCUCCAGAUGGAAAACUGUGAUUCUUUUAACCUCUUGCGGAAGAGACUCACCCACAUUCUUCCUUACCAACACACCUUCCUUCUGUGUAUGCUUUUUUUCUCCUUUGGUCUCUAUCUUUUGUAUGUGUAUAUAAAGCAAUUUCAAAUCUUAUAGUUUUGUACAUGUACUUUUUAU